CCUACGGGAGGCAGCAGUGGGGAAUAUUGCACAAUGGGGGGAACCCUGAUGCAGCAAUGCCGCGUGGGUGAAGAAGCACUCCGGUGCGUAAAGCCCUGUCAGCAGGGAAGAAAAUGACAGUACCUGGACAAGAAGCCCCGGCUAACUACGUGCCAGCAGCCGCGGUAAUACGUAGGGGGCAAGCGUUAUCCGGAUUUACUGGGUGUAAAGGGAGCGCAGGCGGCGUGGCAAGUCAGAUGUGAAAACCCGGGGCCCAACCCCGGGAGUGCAUUUGAAACUGCCAUGCUGGAGUGCCGGAGAAGUAUGCGGAAUGCGCGGUGUAGCGGUGAAAUGCAUAGAUAUCGCGCAGAACUCCGAUUGCGAAGGCAGCAUGCCGGCUCCACACUGACGCUGAGGCACGAAAGCGUGGGUAUCGAACAGGAUUAGAUACCCCGGUAGUC
rnacentral:rRNA from 1 species